GCAUGUAGUACCGGAGGGAACCCAAAAGAGGGUCAUCUGGCUGGAGUAUUGACGGUAUCCCAGGAGAGAGGGUCUCCUAAGGAAAAGUGUGUUCCUUGACGUGUUCUGUAACUCCUGCAAAACCUAUCUGUCAGUCAUUCUGCAAAUAAAGACAUCACUUAGUUCAUCAUACUAUCUGAGUGCAGUGUCUUACUAUCUGGAGGAUCCACUCUGCCUGUUUUGCUCUCUUCAGCCUUCCUGAUACAUUGCUUCUAAGUUAAGCCGUAUACAUUGACCUCCCCACAUUUACAUUUGUUUCCUAAGGCACCCCCAAUGAUUAUAAUUACUAGCCUGAGACCCCGGGCGGCGCUCUUGUAUCACUACCCGGCACCUCACAGUGAUUAUGCCUCUCCUUCUCCUUUAAAGGAAAAACAUUUGCAUUCUGUGUUUUUAGUUGAGAAAGUAUUAUUCCAAUCUACGCAAAUGCUACUUUGUUUGAAAACUAAUUGCUGUGCCCAUUUUCCAAAUGCAUUUAAAUUCCUAUUGCUUUACAGUUAUGUAGUAUUGGCUGUACUAUAGUGUUUAUAGUGCCUGCAUUUUGGCUCUUUCUUUGCCCCCUAGUGGACAUAAUACAUAUAUAUAUAUAUUGUUCACAAUUAAA